GAGGAGGAAGCGGCGACAAGAGUGCGCUCGGGCGAGCCCGGUGCCGGCGUCUCGGGGCGGCCCGGGCUGUGCAGCGUUGGUGGUAUAGUGCGUUUUGUAACUGGAGUCCGAUGGAACAAUGGAGCCUGCUGGAUAAGCAGAUACCAGCAACAUUCUUACCUGCCUUCCUUGUCACCCAUUGGUAUAUAGCAUUUGCUGUGCUUGAUGAACACAGAAUUCCGGAUGGACCCACUAUGCAGUGGGUCCUAAGAUGAGUAGUAUAAGCCAAUACAUGGAAGCAACCUAAACAUCCAUCAACGGAUGAAUGAAUAAAGAAGAUGCGGUGUAUAUACACAAUGGAACACUUCUCAGCCAUUAGAAAGAGUGAAAUAAUGCCAUAUGCAGCAACAUGGAUGAACCUAGAGAUCAUCGUACUAAGUGAAGUAAGUCAG